rnacentral:piRNA from 1 species
UAGGAAGGUGGGUAUAGAAAAGAGACAGC